rnacentral:rRNA from 1 species
UACGAAGGGGCUAGCGUUGUUCGGAAUUACUGGGCGUAAAGGGCGCGUAGGCGGCCCGUUCAGUCAGAUGUGAAAGCCCCGGGCUCAACCUGGGAACUGCAUUUGAUACUGGCGGGCUUGAGUUCCGGAGAGGAUGGUGGAAUUCCCAGUGUAGAGGUGAAAUUCGUAGAUAUUGGGAAGAACACCGGUGGCGAAGGCGGCCAUCUGGACGGACACUGACGCUGAGGCGGCGAAAGCGUGGGGAGCAAACAGGG